UAAACAUGCACUUAGCCUCCAUGCUUCAUUGCAUGAUCACUGGCUCACUGCUGAUCACUAUUUGGAAGGUAUCAUAUCCAUAGGAUACCAUAAGGACUCUGUAUAGAUUUCUGCAUUUUUCACCUGUAUUGUGACUUCUGAGGUCCUCCAUGUGUGCAUGAAGUUGCUGAUUCCUCUUUUUUUCAUACGAAUGCUUCCCUUUUGAGCUCUGCGUAAUCUGAGUUACCAGAUUCACGAGACGCACCCCUGAUGAAGUCUAGUUCCUAGACGAAACGCGUUGGUUUACUGUAUUUCUUGUUGAUAUUAUCUCCGAAUAUUUAAUGAGGAAGAAUAAGGAUACAACAGAAAGGUUGCCUUCUUUCCUCCAUAUCCCAUUGAUGGAUUUCUGUAGGAGAAACUACAUCAUAAUGUACAUGUAAUAAUGAUGGAUAUACUUCAUGUUUCUGUAUAAUUGUUUUAAUACAUUUUUAUGAAAAGUACA